GUGCGCCUUCGCCUGCCCUACAGUUUGCCGGCUCGCAUUUUCCGCAAGGAAUGUCUACUACAGACCCCUCCAUGACCGCCCGGAUGCCCGCGCGAGCCGCUCCCCGAGCCUGCAUCAGGACCUCGCUGCGAGCCCGCUAUUGGAUGUCGCCGCGGGUUCAACGCACCCAAUGCCAGGGGUGCCCGGCCGACGCAGAGGGAAUGCGUGUCGGAACUUUAACCCUUGAUGAUUCUUCUGGUGACAAGUCUUGUGUCUUUGUCGUCAGCGGCCUUUUACGUUGCGCGAGGGUCCUCGGACGCCUCUUGCCCGCUGAAAAGUUGGAUUGGCUGAAGAUUCGGACCCUUGUCCUGACAGAAUGGCUUUUGCUGACGUCCCGGUUGCUGCUUCUUCUUAUAUCCAUUUGGAGAAGCAGGCCCAGGGAGAAGAUGCCAUGAGCCGUGCUGGUAAGAGUCUCUGGUCUGAGACCGCUCGUCCGCUCUUCUCCGCCGGAACCAGUGCUGUGGUUUGACAGCACGACCGAUCGAGUGGUGCGGUCUGAAAAGUCCGGUGCUGAUUUGGAGUUGAUAAUGGAGACGAGAGGGCUUUGAGUUGAGCUUGAAUUCGGCCACACACAGAGACGGCGUUUCGCAGCGUUUAUCCAGCAUCUCCUUGCCGGAAGUUGUGUCAACAUCACGUUUGGCACGGCCGCGAGAGACUGCCCGGAUCACAUACAGAAACGCUGCUCGUCCCUCGCUGCCUAUUCAUGACGCUCUCGGAUCUUGAACCCUCAAUCUCUCAACUGCCGAAGACGCCUCGGAACUACGGAAUGCCCCUCGAGCCACUUGUUCGCUCCGGUGAUCUCGUGGUAUAUUUGAAGGUCCAGCCAGGCACAUUAGCUUCUUCGCGUCAGCCCCGUCCGACGUGGCAGAAGGCGCCAGUCCACCGCUGAUUGCCCCGCGGCAUCGGUAUAUUCCUCUACUUGGGUACUUUCCCUAGAAGAGAUGAAAGCGCGUUUUUUUGUGGAUGUCUUUUGUGCGUGCGGCAAUGCUUCCCUUUUCCAACUUGCGUGGCGAGUUUUGAUGGGAACGAAUCAAAAACGAGUCCUUGCGGGCAGUGCACUACAUACGGAACCAGUCGGUAUUAGCUAGCUCAACGUGCAUUCGAAGCGGUAAUGGUUGGGCUGGGUUUUGGUGGUGGACUUGGCUGAUGACAGCAGCGAAUCGUUAUGGUUUGGGCAUUGGGCGGUCUGAGUGAUGUUACAUCUACUUGGGCUCAAUCGCGCAUCCGGGGCCGAACCAAGAAGCAGUGUCGGGACCCAUCUCGUGUUGGAGUCAAAGUUUCGUGCUUGUCUGGUACUGUGGGCUGGCGGGACUGGGUGCGCGCUUGAGAUGUGCUCUGCGGCGCUCUCGUGUUGAGCUUUUGCCUUGAAAGGACAGGCCUCGGGAUAUGGGUAGUCCUGGUUGUCCCGGCCGUCUGAAAUGUCGGACGGGGCAACCCCCCGCAUUGGAGG
rnacentral:telomerase_RNA from 1 species